rnacentral:rRNA from 1 species
GACGAACGCUGGCGGCGUGCUUAACACAUGCAAGUCGAACGGAAAGGCCCUGCUUUUGCGGGUUUCUCGAUUGGCGAACGCGUGAGUAACACGUGAGUAACCUGCCCUUGACUUUGGGAUAACUUCACGAAACUGGGGCUCAAACAGGAUAGAAGCUCUUGCACCACGUGGGGGGUUGGAAAGUUUCGGCGGUGGGGGAUGGACUCGCGGCUUACCAGCUUGUUGGGGGGGUAGUUGCUUACCAAGCCUUUGACGGCUAGCCGGCCUGAGAGGGUGACCGGCCACAUUGGGCCUGAGAUACGGCCCAGACUCGUACGGGAGGCAGCAGUGGGGAAUAUUGCACAAUGGGCGGAAGCCUGAUGCAGCAACGCCGCGUGCGGGAUGACGGCCUUCGGGUUGAAAACAGCUUUCGCCUGUGACGAAGCGUGAGUGACGGUAAUGGGUAAAGAAGCACCGGCUAACUACGUG